rnacentral:rRNA from 1 species
AGAGUUUGAUCCUGGCUCAGGAUGAACGCUAGCUACAGGCUUAACACAUGCAAGUCGAGGGGCAGCAUGACGGAAGCUUGCUUCUGUUGAUGGCGACCGGCGCACGGGUGAGUAACGCGUAUCCAACCUACCCAAUGCUCGGGCAUAGCCCGUCGAAAGACGGAUUAACUCCCGAUACGUCCUUUGAAGGCAUCUGAUUUGGACGAAAGUUCGCGGCAUUGGAUGGGGAUGCGUCCGAUUAGGUUGUUGGCGGGGUAACGGCCCACCAAGCCGGCGAUCGGUAGGGGUUCUGAGAGGAAGGUCCCCCACACUGGUACUGAGACACGGACCAGACUCCUACGGGAGGCAGCAGUGAGGAAUAUUGGUCAAUGGGCGGAAGCCUGAACCAGCCAAGUAGCGUGCAGGAUGACGGCCCUAUGGGUUGUAAACUGCUUUUGUGCGGGGAUAAAAAGCGGGACGUGUCCCGCCUUGUAGGUACCGCAAGAAAAAGGACCGGCUAAUUCCGUGCCAGCAGCCGCGGUAAUACGGAAGGUCCGGGCGUUAUCCGGAUUUAUUGGGUUUAAAGGGAGCGCAGGCGGCCUGUUAAGCGUGUGGUGAAAUGUAGUCGCUCAACGUCUGCACUGCCACGCGAACUGGCGGGCUUGGGUGCGGUGAACGCUGGCGGAAUUCGUGGUGUAGCGGUGAAAUGCUUAGAUAUCACGAAGAACUCCGAUUGCGAAGGCAGCUGGCGGUACCGUUACCGACGCUCAUGCUCGAAAGUGUGGGUAUCGAACAGGAUUAGAUACCCUGGUAGUCCACACGGUAAACGAUGGAUGCUCGUUGUUCGGCCUUUGGGUCGAGCGGCCAAGGGAAACCGAUAAGCAUCCCACCUGGGGAGUACGCCGGCAACGGUGAAACUCAAAGGAAUUGACG